UACGAAGGGUGCAAACGUUGCUCGGAAUCAUUGGGCGUAAAGCGCACGUAGGCGCCUUGCAAGUCGGAUGUGAAAUCCCACGGCUCAACCGUGGACGUGCAUCCGAAACUGCUCGGCUCGAGUAUGGAAGAGGGUCGCGGAAUUCCCGGUGUAGAGGUGAAAUUCGUAGAUAUCGGGAGGAACACCAGUGGCGAAGGCGGCGACCUGGGCCAAUACUGACGCUGAGGUGCGAAAGCGUGGGGAGCAAACAGG
rnacentral:rRNA from 1 species